rnacentral:sRNA from 1 species
CCCUAGCCCUAAUAGCAGUGUAAAUCCUUUCUAUUCCUGAACUUGUUUCAGGAAUAGAAAGAUUGAAACGAAUAGCAGGAAUAGCU